CCUACGGGCGGCUGCAGUCGAGAAUCUUCGGCAAUGGGCGAAAGCCUGACCGAGCGACGCCGCGUGCGGGAUGAAGGCCUUCGGGUUGUAAACCGCUGUCGUAGUGGAGGAAAUAUCAGGGGGUUCUCCCCUUGGUUUGACUGAUACUAGGAGGAAGGGUGGGCUAAGCUCGUGCCAGCAGCCGCGGUAAGACGAGCCACCCAAACGUUAUUCGGAAUCACUGGGCUUAAAGCGUGCGUAGGCGGCCUGCAAAGUUGGGUGUGAAAUCCCUUGGC
rnacentral:rRNA from 1 species